AGAGUUUGAUCCUGGCUCAGGAUGAACGCUGGCGGCGUGCCUAAUACAUGCAAGUCGAACGAGGUGCUUUUGUAGCAAUACGAGAGUAUCCUAGUGGCGAACGGGUGAGUAACGCGUUGGUGACCUACCCCAAAGUGUGGAAUAACAGUCCGAAAGGAUUGCUAAUACCGCAUGUGGUUAUCGGGUUUAGAAACUGAUAACUAAAGGAGCAAUUCGCUUUGGGAGGGACCUGCGUCCCAUCAGCUAGUUGGUGAGGUAAUGGCUCACCAAGGCUACGACGGGUAGGGGACCUGAGAGGGUGACCCCCCACAAUGGAACUGAAACACGGUCCAUACACCUACGGGUGGCAGCAGUAGGGAAUAUUGCACAAUGGGCGAAAGCCUGAUGCAGCAACGCCGCGUGUGCGAUGAAGGCCUUCGGGUCGUAAAGCACUUUUCUGAGAGAUGAGAAAGGACAGAUCUCAGGAAUAAGU
rnacentral:rRNA from 1 species